GUGGGUGGAAGCUCAUCGUAGAGGUCACAUGCAGAGUGCUAGUCACUUAACCAAUCACCUUGGGGAAGGUCUGAGACAGGAGCCAAUGACUGCCCUAGCAGGGCAUCACCCUCUCUGGUUGAGUGAGUGCACAGAGAAUAUUGGCUGUUGUGAGCUGUCUUCACAGGAGAAACCCGCCAGUGUAGCUCUCCAGCACUUCUGGUGGAUGUGACCCCACUGGUUUGGAAUCGAUCAUGGCUGGCAUAUGAGUAAAAUGUGGGAGUAUACCGCCAGAACUCUGCCCACAUUUUUGUUCUCAAACUACGUUUACUCUUUCAAC
rnacentral:RNase_P_RNA from 1 species